UACGUAGGGUGCAAGCGUUGUCCGGAAUUAUUGGGCGUAAAGAGCUCGUAGGCGGUCUGUCGCGUCGGAUGUGAAAAUCCAGGGCUCAACCCUGGACCUGCAUUCGAUACGGGCAGACUAGAGUUCGGCAGGGGAGACUGGAAUUCCUGGUGUAGCGGUGAAAUGCGCAGAUAUCAGGAGGAACACCGGUGGCGAAGGCGGAUCUCUGGGCCUUACCUGACGCUCAGGUGCGAAAGCUAGGGGAGCGAACAGG
rnacentral:rRNA from 1 species